rnacentral:misc_RNA from 1 species
GACGGAGGGUGCAAACGUUGCUCGGAAUCACUGGGCGUAAAGGGCGUGUAGGCGGGAAGGCAAGUCGGGCGUGAAAGCCCCAGGCUCAACCUGGGAACUGCACUCGAAACUGCCUUUCUUGAGUGUCGGAGAGGAAAGCGGAAUUCCUGGUGUAGAGGUGAAAUUCGUAGAUAUCAGGAGGAACACCAGUGGCGAAGGCGGCUUUCUGGACGAUAACUGACGCUGAGACGCGAAAGCGUAGGGAGCAAACAGG